GUGAAAAGCCCGCUCGCCGGAAGACCAAGGGUUCCUGUCCAACGUUAAUCGGGGCAGGGUGAGUCGACCCCUAAGGCGAGGCCGAAAGGCGUAGUCGAUGGGAAACAGGUUAAUAUUCCUGUACUUGGUGUUACUGCGAAGGGGGGACGGAGAAGGCUAUGUUGGCCGGGCGACGGUUGUCCCGGUUUAAGCGUGUAGGCUGGUUUUCCAGGCAAAUCCGGAAAAUCAAGGCUGAGGCGUGAUGACGAGGCACUACGGUGCUGAAGCAACAAAUGCCCUGCUUCCAGGAAAAGCCUCUAAGCAUCAGGUAACAUCAAAUCGUACCCCAAACCGACACAGGUGGUCAGGUAGAGAAUACCAAGGCGCUUGAGAGAACUCGGGUGAAGGAACUAGGCAAAAUGGUGCCGUAACUUCGGGAGAAGGCACGCUGAUAUGUAGGUGAAGUCCCUUGCGGAUGGAGCUGAAAUCAGUCGAAGAUACCAGCUGGCUGCAACUGUUUAUUAAAAACACAGCACUGUGCAAACACGAAAGUGGACGUAUACGGUGUGACGCCUGCCCGGUGCCGGAAGGUUAAUUGAUGGGGUCAGCGCAAGCGAAGCUCUUGAUCGAAGCCCCGGUAAACGGCGGCCGUAACUAUAACGGUCCUAAGGUAGCGAAAUUCCUUGUCGGGUAAGUUCCGACCUGCACGAAUGGCGUAAUGAUGGCCAGGCUGUCUCCACCCGAGACUCAGUGAAAUUGAACUCGCUGUGAAGAUGCAGUGUACCCGCGGCAAGACGGAAAGACCCCGUGAACCUUUACUAUAGCUUGACACUGAACAUUGAGCCUUGAUGUGUAGGAUAGGUGGGAGGCUUUGAAGUGUGGACGCCAGUCUGCAUGGAGCCGGCCUUGAAAUACCACCCUUUAAUGUUUGAUGUUCUAACGUGGACCCGUGAUCCGGGUUGCGGACAGUGUCUGGUGGGUAGUUUGACUGGGGCGGUCUCCUCCUAAAGAGUAACGGAGGAGCACGAAGGUUGGCUAAUCCUGGUCGGACAUCAGGAGGUUAGUGCAAUGGCAUAAGCCAGCUUGACUGCGAGCGUGACGGCGCGAGCAGGUGCGAAAGCAGGUCAUAGUGAUCCGGUGGUUCUGAAUGGAAGGGCCAUCGCUCAACGGAUAAAAGGUACUCCGGGGAUAACAGGCUGAUACCGCCCAAGAGUUCAUAUCGACGGCGGUGUUUGGCACCUCGAUGUCGGCUCAUCACAUCCUGGGGCUGAAGUAGGUCCCAAGGGUAUGGCUGUUCGCCAUUUAAAGUGGUACGCGAGCUGGGUUUAGAACGUCGUGAGACAGUUCGGUCCCUAUCUGCCGUGGGCGCUGGAGAACUGAGGGGGGCUGCUCCUAGUACGAGAGGACCGGAGUGGACGCAUCACUGGUGUUCGGGUUGUCAUGCCAAUGGCACUGCCCGGUAGCUAAAUGCGGAAGAGAUAAGUGCUGAAAGCAUCUAAGCACGAAACUUGCCCCGAGAUGAGUUCUCCCUGACCCUUUAAGGGUCCUGAAGGAACGUUGAAGACGACGACGUUGAUAGGCCGGGUGUGUAAGCGCAGCGAUGCGUUGAGCUAACCGGUACUAAUGAACCGUGAGGCUUAACCUU
rnacentral:rRNA from 1 species